GAGGGCGGAGCUGAGUUCUCCUCUGCACAGACUUCGGAGAUACAGCGAAGGCAGAGCAGUGUUCUCCUCAGCACAGACCCGGGCGGGCGGGCGGGUGUCACCGCGAGGGCGGAGCUGCGUUCUGCUCAGCACAGACCUUGGGGACACUGCCUCGCUUUGGGACAACUCGGGGCCGCAUCGACGGUGAAUAAAAUCCUUCCUGUUUGCACCCCUGUUUGCGGUUGGUGGCAGCGAUGGACACUGCAGCCAGCCAGAGCAUAGAAAGGCGUCGGGUCGAAGAAGAUGGCCACGGAGACAGCAGCGUGGUCAGAGUGGUAGGAGCCGGCCAUUGGCGAGAGCUGCUCCGUGCCCGGCUGCUGGGUGCUAGAGCCUGCGGCCCACUGGCUUGCCUCACUGUGGUUGGUGGUGGCGGUGACAGAGACUGCAGCACGACCAGAGUGGCUUUUCUGGCUUUGCCCACCCAGCUGCUCUGUGCCAGGAGGAGGAGGAGACACCUAGAGCCUGCGACACCACGGCUCGCCUCACUGCGGGUGGGUGGCAGCGACGGAGACUGCAGUGCGCCGGAGCGGUAGGAGAGCGGCCGCGCUAGGAGGGCAGGCGGCUGCAGCCAGAGUUGGGGGUCAGGCUUACAGCGAUGGACGGGCUGCAGCAGUGGCCAGGUGGUAGGAGCCUUGUAGGGAGGGCUGGUGCAUUGGCAAUGGGCCUGGCUUUUCCCUGCCCCUGCCGUGGAUCUGGCCCUGUACUGCCCUGCCUUGCCCUGUACCUGCCCUACUAUUACCUGGACUCUCAGCCCUAUCCUGCUCUGGUCCCAUCCUGACCCUGUCUUGGCCCUGUGCUACCCUGUCCCUGACUUGGUCUUGCCCUGGCACUGGCCCUGCCGUGAACCUGCACUGGCCUGACCUUGGCUCUGGCCCUGGCUCUGGACCUGCCCCUUGUCCUGACCCUGGUCCUCUCAUGGCACUGGCCCUGCCAAUGGUCAUGGUCCUGCUCCUGUUCUGGCCCUGACCUGGCCUUGGACAUGUCCUGGCCCUGCUUUGGCCCAACCCUGUCCUGGCCCCACCAUGAGCCUGCCUGUUCUGCCCUCUCCUGGCACUGACCUUGCCCUGUCAUGACCUAGUGGUACCAUUGCCCUGCCUUACCCUGCGCUGGUUGUGCCUUGGCCCCACUUGGUGCUAGCCGCUCCCUGGACCUGCCGUGACCCUGCCUUGGCUUUUGCCCUGCCCUCACUAUGGCCUGGCCCUGGCCCUAGCCCUGGUCCUGCCAUAUCCCUGGGCCUACCCUUAUCCAGGCCCUGCCCCUGCUGCUACCCUGGCCCUGGCCUGGAACCUGGUCCUGUCAAGGACCUGCCCUGACUCUGCCAUGGCCCUGGCCCUGCUCUGCCUUGUUCCUGGCCCUGACCCAGACCCAGACCCUUUCGUGGCUCUGCACUGGCCUUUCCCUGGCCCUGAGCUGGCAGUGGUCUGCCCCUGGUCUUGCCAUCACCCUGCCCUGCUGUGCUCUGGAUGUGUCAUCACCCUGCCCUGGCCCUACUCUGCCUUUGACCCUGCCCUGGCCUUACCUUGGCCCUCACCCUAGUCUUCAUUAGGCCCUGCUCUGGAGCUGGCCCUAGCACAGACCUGGCCCUGACCCUGGCCCUGGUCUUUGUCCUGCCAUAGCCCUGGCCCUGAAGUGGACUUGGAGGUGUCCUGGCCCCGGCGUGACGUGGCUCUGCAUUGGCCUGUCCCUGCCCUGCCCCUACCAUCGCCUUGCCCUGCUCUGCCCUGUCCCAGUACUGACCUGGCCAUGCUAUUUCCCUGCCCUACCCUGCCUUGGCUGUGCCCUGGCUCGGUUCUGGCCGUGGCCCCAGCCCUGCCCUGGACAUGCUCUGACACUGCCUCAGCGUUGGCACUAGCCUGGCUCUUUCUUGGCAUCAGCCCUGCUCUCUCUGUAGACCGGCUCUUGUCCUGUCCUGCACUGGCCAUACCAUGCCCUGCCCUGCCCUGCCCUGCCCUGACUCAGCCCUGGCCCAGCCUUGGCCUUGGCAUUGCCCCUGGUCCUGCCAUAUUUCUUGCCCUGUCCCUACCCUGGCCUUGGCCCUGACCCUUACCUUGCUCUGGCCCUGCCCUUGCCCUAAUGCAGCCCCUGGACCUGUCAUGGCCCUGGCCCUUCCCUGCUUGAGACCUUGCCCUGGUUCUCCCCUGGCCCUGACCCUGAAAUGCCUGGCCCUACCCUGGCCUUGCACUGCUCUGGCCCUUGCCCUGACUCUGGUCCUGUCACUGGCCUAGCUCCAGCCCUGUUGCUGGUCUUACCAUGGCUGAGACCCUGCCUUGGCCCUGCCCUGACACUGUCCUGGACCCUGGCUGUGCCAAGAACCUGCACUAUCCUUGCCCUUGUUUUGCUCCUUCCCCAAACCUGGUCUUGCCCAGGCAUGGCCAUGGCCCUGGCCCUGGCCCUGGCCCUGGCCCUGCCCUGGCUGUUCCCUGGCCCUGCCCAGGUCUUGGCACUGGCCUGGCCCUGCCCUGCCUUGGCCCUAUGCUUUCCUGGCCCUGCCUUGGCCCUAGCCUGUCUUUGACCCUGCCCUGGCCCUACCUUGGCCUUCACCCUAGCCUUACCUGGGCACUGUGUUGGACCUGGCCAUAGCACAGACCUGGUUGUGGCCCUGGCCCUGCCAUGGCCCUGUCCCAGACCCCCUAGCCCUGCCAGGUACUUGUCCUGGCCCUGCUCUGGGCCUGGCUUUGUCCCUGGUUCUUAGAUGAUCCUGGCCCUGCCCCUGCCCUUGCCCUUGCCCUGGCACUGGCCUUGGAGAUGUCCAUGGUCCUAACCCUGGCCCUGCCCUGGAGCUGCCACUGUCUUGGCCCUGCCCUGGCUCUGGCCCUGCCCCGGCCCUGGCCCUGAAGAGGAUUUGCAGGUGUCUUGUCCCUGAUUUAACUUGGCCCUACCAUGGCCCUGUCCCUCCCCGGCUCUGUCCUGGUCUUGUGCUGACCCUGACCCAGACAUUGGCCCUGCCUCAGCCUUGUCCUAGACCUGGCCAUGGCCCUGCCUCUGCCCUGGACCAGCGCUGGCACUCGCAUGGACCCUGGCCCUGGCGCUUCGCUACUUAAGGCCAUACCCUGGCCCAGCCCUGGUCCUGGCCCUAAUUUGUCCUGGCUCUACCCUGGCAUGCUAUUCUGGCCCUAGCCCUGACCCUGUCCCUGUCCCUGUCCUGGCUCUAGUCCCAUUGCUGGUCCUGCCAUGGCCCUUGUCCUGACAUUGCCCUUUCCUGGCCCUGGCCCUGUCCCAGCCCUGCUCUGGCCCUGGUCUGAACCCUGGCCCUGCAAUGGACCUGCCUUGGUCCUCUCCAGACCCUGGCUCUGGCCCUACCUCUGCCCUGGCCAUACACUUCCCCUGGCCUGGACCCCGGUCCUGGUCCUUGUCAUGCCCCAGCCGUGGCCCUGGCCCUGCCCUGCCUGUGCCCUGUUCUAUCCUGGGCUGGCCCUGCCAUGGCCUGGUCUUGCCAUUGCCCUGUCCUAGCCUGCCCUGCUUGUGCCCUAGAUCUGCCCUGGCCUUUGCCCCUGUCUUGGUUCUAGCCUUGACUCAGCCCUGGACCUUCCCUGACCUUGCCUCAGCCCUGGCACUACCCUGGCCUUGCCUUGGCACUUGCCCUGCUCUCUGUAUGGCCUGGCUCUGGUCCUGCCCUGCUCUGCUCUUGUUCUGUCCUGGCACAGCCCUGGCCCUGCCGUAUCACUGGUUCCGGUCCUGCCCUUAUGCAGGCCUGACCCUGUCCCUGCCUUGGCUUUGGCCUGGACGUUGGCCAUACAGUGACCCUGCCAUGACCCUUUCCUGGCCCUGCCAAGGACUCGCCCUGGCUCUGUCAUGGCCCUGGCCCUUUCCUGGAUUUGGAUGUGUCCUGUCCCUUAUUUGCCCCGGCCCUUCCCUGGCUCUGCCAUACCCCUUCUCUGGGGUAGGACCAGGGUCAGGACCAGACCAGGGCAGGGUCAGGACCAGGGUAGGGCCAUGGUAAGGCCUGAAGAUGGGAAGGGCCAGGGCAGCGGCAGGACCAGGGAAGGGUCAGGGCCAGGGAUGUGUUAGGACUCGGGGCAGAGCCGGCACUAGGGCUGAGCCAGGGCCGAGCAGGAGAGAUUACAUUAGGCUAUUAUGUAAAAUUUUUAUUUUAGAUUUUUAAGAUAACCAUAGUAGUAGUAAUAAUGUCUAUUCUAUGUUGUUUGUAAUAGUAAUCAUAUUUGCAGUAAAUAAUCACUAAAUUUUAACUAAUACUAUCUAUGAGUAUAAUUUUAUCAAUAUGUAAAUAUGCGAGGCAUUGAUUCUCACAAUAAUUCUAUAUGCUAGGUACCUAAAGCAUCCCCAUUUUCCAAAUGUAGGAAACAGGCAUGAAGAAGUUAAAUACUUGGCCAGAUUAGUCCUGUAAUCCCAGCACUUUGGGAGGCCAAGGCAGGCAGAUGGCUUGAGCUCAGGAGUUUGGAACCAGCCUGGGCCACGUUGUGAAACCCCAUCUCUACUAAAAAUGCAUAAAAAGAGCUGAUUUAAGUUUCUUGUAGGAUUCCGGUUAUAAAAACUGGUCAAACACACAGGGCAUGGAUAGGGCAGGGCCAGGGACAAGGUCAGGCCAGGAAGGGGCCAGGGCCAAGGCGGGGCCAGGGCCAAGGCAGGGCCAGAGCUGGACUUGGAGGUGUCCUGGUCUGAUUUGCCCUGCCCCAGCGUUGGCCCAGCCCUGCUCUGGCACUUCCUGUCAUGCCUUGUCCCUGGCCUGAGCAUUGGCCCAGCCCUGCUCUGGCACUUCCUGUCAUGCCUUGUCCCUGGCCUGAGCAUUGGCCCUGGCCCUGUUCUGCUUCUGGCCCUGCCCCGGGGUUGACCAGGCACUGCCAUGUCCGAGUCCUGCAUUGCCCUGCCCUCCUCUGCCCUGGCGCUGCCAUGGCCCUGCUUGGGCCCUAGCUCUGCCUCGACUCUGGACCUGCCCUGACUCUGCUCAGCCCUGGAUCUACCCUGACUCUGCCUUGGUGUUGCCCUCCCAUCUCUAUGGCCUGGCUGUGGCCCUGCCUUGCACAGGCCAUGCUCUGCCCUGCGUGUCCCAGCCUGGGCCCAGCCCUUGUCCUACCAUAUUCCUGACCCCAGCCGUACCCUUAUUCUGCCGUGGCCCUCUCCUGGCCCUUCCUUGGUCCUGCCCUGCCCUUCCAUGCCCUGGCCUUGUCCUCACCCUGCAUUGGUCCUGCACUGGUCCUGCCCUGCCCUGGCACUGCCUUGGCCCCGGCCCUGCCUUCUCCCUGGCCUUGCCCUUGCCCUGCCCUGGCCUGACCCCAGGCCUAUCGAGUCCAUGAAAUGGCCCUGGACCUGCCUUGCCAUCGUCUGUCCUGGCCCUGUAUUGUCCCCACCAUGCUCUGGUCCAGCGCUUACCCUGGCCCUGUUGCUAGACCUGCCACUGCUAUGGCCCUGCCCUGUUUUUGGCCAUGCCCUGUGCUACCCUAGCCCUGCCCUGCCUUGGCCUUGGCCCUACCAUGGCCUUCUCCUACCCUGGCCUGGCCCUACACUGGCCUUUUCUACCCUGGCCUUACCCUGCCCUGGCCUUGCCCUGCCCUGGCCUUGGCUUUGCCUUAUCCUGGUCCUGGUUCUGCCCUGGCCCUGCCCUUGCUCUGGAUCCUCUCUGGUUCUGCCUUCUCCCUGGCCCUGCCCUUGCUCUGCCCUGUCCAUGGCCCAGCCUUGACCCUGGCCCUGACAAUCCCCAGGCCCCACACUGGCCAUGCUUGGCCCUGGCCCCUCCUUUGGCCCUGCCCUGGCCCUGCCUUGACCCUGUGCUAUCUUAGUCCUGCCCUGGCCCUGAACUCGCCCUGGCCCUACCCUCACCCUACACUGGCCCUGCCCUACCCUGGCCUUGCCCUGCCCUGGGCUUGGCUUUGCCUUAUCCUGGUCCUGGUUCUGCCCUGGCCCUGCCUUGCUCUGGAUCCUCUCUGGUUCUGCCUUCUCCCUGGCCCUGCCCUUGCUCUGGCCCUGGCCCUGGCCCAGCCUUGACCCUGGCCCUGACAAUCCCCAGGCCCCACACUGGCCAUGCUUGGCCCUGGCCCCUCCUUUGGCCCUGCCCUGGCCCUGCCUUGGCCCUGUGCUAUCUUAGUCCUGCCCUGGCCCUGAACUCGCCCUGGCCCUACCCUCACCCUACACUGGCCCUGCCCUACCCUGGCCUUGCCCUGCCCUGGCCCUGCCUUUGGCCUGCCCUGGCCCUGGUUCUGCCCUGGCCUUGCCCUUGCCCUGGACCCUCCCUGGCCAUGUUUUUUCCAUGGUCCUUCUCUGGCCUUGCCCUUGCCCUGUCCCCUUUCUGGUACUGCCAUGUUUCUGGCCCUGUCCUGUCCAUGUCCUGCUCCUGACUCUGGCCCUGGACCUCCCUGUCCCCGCCCUGCCAUACCCUGGCCCGUUCCUUGCUCUACACUGACCCUGCCCUGCCUUGGCCCUGUGCCACCCUAGGCUUGCCCUGGCCUUCUGCUGGCCCUGAUCCUGCCAUGGCCCUGGCCCUGCCAUGUCCCUGCCCUGGUCCUGGUUCUGCCCUGAUUCUGGCCCUGGCCUUGGUCCUCUCAUGUCCCUGGCUGUGACCCUGCCCCUGGUUUUUCUCUGGCCAUGACCCUGUCCCAGUUCUGUCCUAGCCCUGGCCCUGUCUCAGUUCUGUCCUAGCCCUGGCCUUUCACAGUACUUUAUGCUUAGUAAAGGCUCCAUAGUGUCUGUGAGUUGAAUGUUGUGUUCAUAGUGUCUGCCAAAACAGAAAGAAAAAAAUCUGAUGAUGAGAAGUUAAAGCUUUGUGUAUAAUAUGCCUUGAAUUGUAAGUGCCUGUUAUUAGUUGUAUUACAUAUAGGUCUUGGUUUUGUACACAUAACUUCAAACCAUUGAUACUGUUAAAAGAAUAUAUGAAUAUAUGAAAGAAUGUAUAAAAGUAAGAAUGUAUGAGUAUCUAAUGACCUUUCCAAUUUAAUUUUUAUUUUUAGCUCUAUUAGAUGUUUCUCAGUGUAACAAAUGUUUAUUCCUAUGUAAUUAAGGGUGUAUUUCCUGUACAGAAUAUUCAUAUUACCUAAUUGAAAAUUAUAUAAUACAAAAAUAUAAUACUAUUUUUAGGCCAGGCAUGGCAGCUCAUACCUGUAAUCCCAACAUUUUGAGGGGCCAAGUUUGGAGAAUCAUUUGAGGCCAGGAGUUGACCAGCCUGGGCAACAUAGUGAGACCUUGUUUUUAUUAAAUAAAUAAAUAAAUAGGUUGGGCACUGUGGCUCCUCUCUGUCAUUCCAGCAUUUUGGGUUGCCAAGGCAGGAGGAUUGCUUGAGCCCUGGAGUUUGAGACCAGCCUGGGCAGCGUAGCAAGACUCCAUCUCUACAAAUAAUAAAAUAUUAACCAGGUGUGGUGGUGCGCACCUGGGGUCCCAGCUACCUGGGAGGCUAAGGUGGGAGGUUUCCUCGAGGCUGCAGUGAACUGUGAAUGCACCACUGCAUUCCAGCCUAGGCCACAGAACAGGACCUUGUCUAUAAAUAAAGAAAUAAGUAAAAAUAUAAAUAAAAAUAAGUAGAAAGAAAUAUAAGUAAAUAUAAAUAUAAAUACAUAUAAAUAUAAAAAUGAAUACAUGAAAACAAACAAGUUUUAAAUUUAACAUCACUGAGGGCAUCCUAUCCAUUUCAUUUCAUGAUUCCAUUACAUCAUGUCACUUAGAUGAAAUGAUAAGAUGACUUGAGAUGAGAUGAAAUGAUGAGAUGAAAUGACGAAAUGAUGAGAUAAGAUGAGAAGAAAUGAUGAGAUGAAAUUUUGAGAUGAAAUGGUGAGUAGAAAUGAUGAGAUGAAAUGAUGAGACAAAAUGAGAAAAUUGAAAAGAAAUUGAAAGGAGAUGAGAUGAGAUGAAAUGAUGAGAUGAUGGAUGAAAUGAUGAGAUGCAACGAGAUGAAAUGAUGAGAAGAAAUGAUGAGAUGAAAUGAAAUGAAAUAAUGAAAUGAUGUGAAAUAAUGAAAUUGAAAUGAGAUGAGAUAUAUAAUGAGAUAAAAUGAUGAGAUGGAAUGAGAUGAACAAUGAGAUGAAAUGAAGAUGUGAGCUGAGAUGAUAAGAUGAAAUGAUGAGAUGAAAUGAUGAGAUGAAAUGAGAUGAAAAGAAAUAAUGAAAUAAGAUGAAAUGAAAUGAAAUAAUGAAAGGAAAUUAUUAAAUGUAAUGAUGAAAUUGAAAUGAGAUGAGAUGAGAUGAAAUGUUGAGAUGAAAUGAUGAGAUGAGAUGAAAUGAUGAGAUGAAAUGAGAUGAUGAGAUGAGAUGAAAUGAUGAGAUGAAAUGAUGAGAUGAAAUGAUGAAAUGAAAUGAGAUGAAAUGAGAUGUAAUCAAGUGAAAUGAAAUGAAAUGACAUAAUGAAAUGAAAUAAUGAAAUGAGAUGAAAUGAAAUAAUGAAAUGAUGCAAUGAAAUGAUGAAAUCAUGAAAUGGAAAUGAAAUGGAAAUGAUGAGAUGAGAAGAAAUGAUGAGAUGAAAUGAUGAAAUGAUGAGAUGAGAUGAAAUGAUGAGAUGAAAUGAGAUGAAAUGAUGAGAUGAGAUGUGAUGAAAUGAUGAGAUGAAAUGAUGACAUGAUAUGAUGACAUGAAAUGAGAUGAAAUAAUGAGAUGAAAUGACGAGAUGAAAUGAUGAGAUGAAAUGAUGAGAUGAGAUGAGAUGAAAUGUGAUGAGAUGAAAUGAAAUGAUGAAAUGGAAUAAUGAAAUGGAAAUGAUGAGAUGAGAUGCAAUGAGUUGAAAUGAUGAGAUGAAAUGAGAUGAAAUGAUGAAAUGAUGAGAUGAAAUGAUGAGAUGAGACGUGAUGAAAUGAUGAAAUGAUGACAUAAAAUGAGAUGAAAUAAGAUGUAAUGAUGAAAUGAGAUGAGAUGAAAUGAUGAGAUGAGAUGAAAUGAGAUGAGAUGAAAUGAAAUCAUGAGAUAAAAUGAUGAUAUGAAAUGAUGAGAUGAAUGAUGAGAUGAAAUGAUAAGACGAUGAGAUGAAAUGAUGAGAUGAAAUAAAAUGAAAUGAAAUAAUGAAAUAAUGAGAUGAAAUGAAAUGAAAAAUGAAAUGAAAUUGAAAUAAAAUUGAAAUGAGAUGAGAUGAAAUGAGAUGAAAUAAGAUGAAAUGAUGAAAUAAAAUGAUGAAAUGAUGAGAUGAAAUGAUGAGAUGAGAUGAGAUGAUGUGAAAUAAUGAAAUGAAAUAAUGAAAUUGAAAUGAGAUGAGAAGAUACGAGAUGAGAUGAAAUGAUGAGAUGAAAUGAUGAAAUGAUAAGAUGAAAUGAGUUGAUGAGAUGAUGAGAUGAAAUGAUGAGAUGAAAAUAUGAGAUGAAAUGAUGAGAUGUAAUGAAAUGAAAUGAGAUGAAAUGAAAUUAGAUGAAAUGUAAUGAGAUGAAAUGAAAUGACAUAAUGAAAUGCAAAAAUGAAAUAAUGAAAUGAGGUGAAAUUAAAUGAGAUGAUGAAAUUAAAUGAUGAAAUGAAAUAAUGAAGUGGAAAUGAAAUGGAAAUGAUGAGAUGAGAUGAAAUGUCGAGAUGGAUGAUGAGAUGAAAUGAUGAGAUGAAAUGAUGUAAUGAUGAGAGGAAAUGAUGAGAUGUAAUGAAACGAGGUGAAAUGAACAAUAUGAAAUGAAAUAAUGAAAGGAAAUUGAAUUGAGAUGCGAUGAAAUGAGAUAAAAUGAUGAGAUGAAAUAAGAAACGAUGAGAUGAAGUGAGACGAAAUGAUGAGAUGAAAUGAUGAAAUGAGAUGAAAGAUGAGAUGAAAUGAGAUGAAAUGAUGAGAUGAGAAGAAAUGAUGAGAUGAAAUGAGAUAAGAUGAGAUGAAAUGAAAUGAAAUGAGAUGAAAUGAAAUGAGGUGAAAUGAAAUGAAAUAAUGAAAUGAAAUGGAAUUGAGAUGAGAUGAAAUGAGAUAAAAUGAUGAGAUGAAAUGAUGAGAAAAAAUGAGAUGAAAUGAUGAGAUGAAGAGAUGAAAUGAUGAGAUGAAAAAUGAUGAGAUGAAAAAUGAUGAGAUGAAAUGAUGAGAUAAAUUGAAAUGAGAUGAAAUGAAACGAAAUAAUGAAAUGAGAUGAAAUGAAAAGAAAUGAUGAAAUGAAAAGAAAUGAUGAAAUGAAAUGAUGAUAUUGAAAUGAAAUUGAAAGAUGAGAUUAGAUGAAAUGAUGAAAUGUUGAAAUGAAAUGAAGAGAUGUGAGAUGAAAUGAUGAGCUGAAAUGAUGAGAUGAAAUGAAAUGAGAUUAAAUGAUGAGAUGAAAAAUGAGAUGAAAUGAUGAGAUGAAAUCAGAUGAGAUGAAUUGAGAUGAGAUGAGAUGAAAUAAUGAAAUUAGGUGAAAUAAUGAAAUGAGAUGAAAUGAAAUAAUGAAAUGAAAUAAUGAAAUUAAAUUGAAAUGAGAUGAGAUGAAAUGAUGAGAUGAAAUGUUGAAAUGAAAGGAUGAAAUGAGAUGAGGGAUGAAAUGAUGAGAUGAAAUGAAUUGAGAUGAAAUGAGAUGAAAAAUGAUAUGAAAAAUGAUGAGAUGAAAAAUAUGAGAUGAAAUGAGAUGAUAUGAAAUGACAUAAUGAAA